CCUACGGGAGGCAGCAGUCGGGAAUAUUGCUCAAUGGAGGAAACCCUGACGCAGCGACGCCGCGUGGAGGAUGAAGGUUUUCGGAUUGUAAACUGCUUUUGUUAGAGAAGAUAAUGACGGUAUCUAACGAAUAAGCACCGGCUAACUCCGUGCCAGCAGCCGCGGUAAUACGGAGGGUGCAAGCGUUACUCGGAAUCACUGGGCGUAAAGAGCGCGUAGGCGGGAUAGCAAGUCAGAUGUGAAAUCCUAUGGCUUAACUAAAGAACUGCAUUUGAAACUGUUAUUCUAGAGUGUGGGAGAGGUAGGUGGAAUUCUUGGUGUAGGGGUAAAAUCCGUAGAGAUCAAGAGGAAUACUCAUUGCGAAGGCGACUUGCUAGAACAUAACUGACGUUGAUGCGCGAAAGCGUGGGGAGCAAACAGGAUUAGAUACCCUAGUAGUC
rnacentral:rRNA from 1 species